rnacentral:rRNA from 1 species
AGUGAACGCUGGCGGUAGGCCUAACACAUGCAAGUCGAACGGCAGCACAGUAAGAGCUUGCUCUUACGGGUGGCGAGUGGCGGACGGGUGAGGAAUACAUCGGAAUCUACUUUUUCGUGGGGGAUAACGUAGGGAAACUUACGCUAAUACCGCAUACGACCUACGGGUGAAAGCAGGGGAUCUUCGGACCUUGCGCGAUUGAAUGAGCCGAUGUCGGAUUAGCUAGUUGGCGGGGUAAAGGCCCACCAAGGCGACGAUCCGUAGCUGGUCUGAGAGGAUGUUCAGCCACACUGGAACUGAGACACGGUCCAGACUCCUACGGGAGGCAGCAGUGGGAAAUAUUGGACAAUGGGCGCAAGCCUGAUCCAGCCAUACCGCGUGGGUGAAGAAGGCCUUCGGGUUGUAAAGCCCUUUUGUUGGGAAAGAAAAGCAGCAGGUUAAUACCCCGCUGUUCUGACGGUACCCAAAGAAUAAGCACCGGCUAACUUCGUG